AUGCCGUCGUGGCCGAACAGCAACGAGACGUCGGACGACGAUGACGAGUACAUGAGCGAGUUCAGCAGCAUGCAGAUGGAGUACUUUCAAACUCCUGACACUGUGAUAGACCCUAGUUUUUGUGGGCUUGUGACUGAAUCUGACAGAAGGUGCAUCCUGCACAGGCAGAGGGCGGGCAAGUUUGUGGCAUUUGAAGGCACUGACACUGGCAGGAGAUUCAUAGGAUGUGCUACUGAGUGGGUAGAUGCCCCCUGGCCUGUAAUUCAGCAAAGGUGCUUAAGCAAGCUCUGGGAUAUGUAUCAUGAGCAGAACCUUGGUAGAGCCCACGAUAAUGAGGCUCAUGGGAUAAAGGUUGCAAAACUGCAAAAGGAGUUUGAUUCUCUGGCCAAUCAGUAUAGCCUGCCGGUGGAUGAUGUGUCCAAGUUGUUUGAUUAUCAGGAUGGAAUCAAAUCUCAUGACAUGGAUUGCACAAGCCAGGCAAUCAAUGAACUGAAGGAGAAGAAGAAGCAACUUGAGGAGCAGGCAAAGAUUGAGCUUCAAAUGGAGAAGCUUAAGCUCAAGAAAGAACAAAGGUGCAUCCUUCAGAGUCAAGCUGAUAUAAUCCAAAACACAAGGAAGGCCAUGAAGGAGCUAGAGGUGGAGAAAGAUCUCUUUAAAGAAGAGAAGAAGAAGCUGGAGAAUGUCAUUGCUGAGCUCCUUAAGGUUGGUCAUGGGUGCAAGAAAAAGCUGGACAAGAUAAAGGAAGUUGUGAUCACUACUAGGAAAAGGGCUAUAGAUGAUAUGGACACUAAUGACGCACCAGACAUGUGGUGCGCCACUACUAUAUACUAA
rnacentral:rRNA from 1 species